rnacentral:rRNA from 1 species
UAGGGAAUAUUGCGCAAUGGGGGAAACCCUGACGCAGCGACGCCGCGUGGGUGAUGAAGGCUUUCGGGUCGUAAAGCCCUGUCGAGUGGGACGAAAGACGAUAUGGCUAAUAUCCAUGUCGAGUGACGGUACCGUUAAAGGAAGCCACGGCUAACUCUGUGCCAGCAGCCGCGGUAAUACAGAGGUGGCAAGCGUUGUUCGGAAUUACUGGGCGUAAAGGGCGCGUAGGCGGCCCUCUAAGUCAGACGUGAAAUCCCCCGGCUUAACCUGGGAACUGCGUCUGAUACUGGAGGGCUUGAGUAUGGGAGAGGGAUGUAGAAUUCCAGGUGUAGCGGUGAAAUGCGUAGAUAUCUGGAGGAAUACCGGUGGCGAAGGCGGCAUCCUGGACCAUUACUGACGCUGAGGCGCGAAAGCGUGGGGAGCAAACGGGAUUAGAUACCCAAGUAGUCCCUGAGCGGGCUGGCAAGGCGCAU